rnacentral:snoRNA from 1 species
UUGCAAUGAUGACUACUUAGGACACCUUUGGAUUCCCCAUGAAAAUAAAUGGUAACAUUCUGAGCAAC